rnacentral:rRNA from 1 species
AGUGAACGCUGGCGGUAGGCCUAACACAUGCAAGUCGAACGGCAGCACAGUAAGAGCUUGCUCUUACGGGUGGCGAGUGGCGGACGGGUGAGGAAUACAUCGGAAUCUACUUUUUCGUGGGGGAUAACGUAGGGAAACUUACGCUAAUACCGCAUACGACCUACGGGUGAAAGCAGGGGAUCUUCGGACCUUGCGCGAUUGAAUGAGCCGAUGUCGGAUUAGCUAGUUGGCGGGGUAAAGGCCCACCAAGGCGACGAUCCGUAGCUGGUCUGAGAGGAUGAUCAGCCACACUGGAACUGAGACACGGUCCAGACUCCUACGGGAGGCAGCAGUGGGGAAUAUUGGACAAUGGGCGCAAGCCUGAUCCAGCCAUACCGCGUGGGCGAAGAAGGCCUUCGGGUUGUAAAGCCCUUUUGUUGGGAAAGAAAAGCAGCAGGUUAAUACCCCACUGUUCUGACGGUACCCAAAGAAUAAGCACCGGCUAACUUCGUG